GACAGAGGCCCCAAGCGUUAGGCGGAAUCACUGGGCUUAAAGCGUGUGUAGGCGGACGCCUAAGUGUCUUGUGAAAUCCCACGGCUCACCCGUGGAACUGCUGGGCAUACUGGGCGUCUUGGGCCAACUAGGGGCAGCCGGAACAAGCGGUGGAGCGGUGAAAUGCGUAGAUAUCGCUUGGAACGCCGAAGGUGAAAACAGGCUGCUGGGGUUGUGCCGACGCUGAGACACGAAAGCCAGGGGAGCAAACGGGG
rnacentral:rRNA from 1 species